GAUCAUCGAAAACAUUUUACACACAAAUUCGAUGUUUAAAAGUGUACAAGUUGUGUGUGUUGUUUAGUGUCAAGUGUGUGUGUGAGAGACUCUUCACAAAUGGACCAUAAGGAAACUAUAAGUAGAAAUUCUUCUAAGUUUCGCCACUAACUUCACAAUAAGAUCGAGAACCAACUAAAAAUCAUGUGUUUUAUUAUAUAUUGCAGUGAAGUCAACGAAAUGAAGCAGAAUCUCACGAAUCGACAACAUCACAUAGGAAUGACAUAACAAACACAAAAUAGGAAUCAUUUCCCGAAACGCGUCGUGAGAAAAUUAAAAUAAAGAAAAUCGUGACUGGUAGCAGAUGAGUUAUUUAUAAACAAACCUAUUGUUUUCUCAGUCGCGGGCUUUCGGAACCAUUUAAAAUGGAUCAAAUCAGAACUGUUUACCAUUUCGUGCGUUCUCCCUACUUUCAACACAAACAAUUAGACAAAGUUAAUAUCAGAUCGGUGGCUGAUACGAGACCGUAAAGGCAUUGCACAUGUAAAGUUCCCCUGAGCCCCCGCACUGUUUGUCAAUUUAGUUUGAUUAGUACAAAUAGAGUUACCAUACGGAAUUCGAGCGACUAUGGAAAUAACUGUCACAGGCCUAUAUUUUUCUCUGCCAGUUAUCAUAUUCGCGCUCAGUUCUUGUUCUCUGCCACUUAACAGGCUAUCUCUACAGGUAACCUGGAGAGAACAAAUAUUUUCGAAUUGCUACCACCGAUUGCUAGGUAAAUAACAACCGCUGAGGCGCUGACCAUCAGGAGCGCCGGAGAGGAGACAAAUAAGGAAUUCUAUUGUCUCCAUUUCUUGCAGUUCUAGAACAGAGUUACUCUUUCCGGCAUUUGGUUGUGUUGUGUUUAUAAAUCAGCGACGUCGAACGUACAAGAGACCAUCUAAAGAAAUCACAUGUACGUGCGAAUUUGUCUUCACAAAGACCUUCGGAGUCAGAUUUAGGAUGUGCCUGCGAGGUGGAAUUCUACUCUGUUACAAUGAAUAGCUGAAGUGAAAGAUGCAGUGAAGACUAGCACCAAGCACUGUGAAUUUCGAACAACUGACAGAGGAUGAGCGGAACAUCUGCUUGGAACGCUGUUGUGUGUUGAAACUAGUUGAGCAGGUUUCAACACAACUUAGUGCAGAGUCCUAUCCUGCUGGCAGCCAAGUUAUUGUCCUGACAAGGGGAUUGUCACCAGUGUGUGCUGAACUUUUGAAGAGGCCACGUGUGUUUCUGUUGUCGAAGAGUUAACAAAAGACCUGAAGGACCAUUUCUGCAAAGGAGAGAUACGAAAGUCUACAGCAGUAGCUACUCUACUUGACCCACAUUUCAAAACUUGUCUGUAAACCGAGUAGCAGCAAAAAAAACAAAUAAGCUGCUUGUUGACCGGCUAACUCAAAAGCUGGGUGACAGAAGACCGACACACACCGGCCAGAGCCACGACACUGUCAGCGUUGACUAGCGCUGAUCCCUUGUCAGUAUGGGAAGUUUAUGAUGCAACAUUCCCGGGGCACUCCUCAGUCAGCUGCUGUUGUGGAAGUGCAAAGAUAUCUGGACAAGUAAUUAGCAGAAGUGAGGAUCCACUUGCAUGAUAACUAGUCAUAUAUACAGCAGUCUGUGAAGCAGUCUGACAGUGUGCAGAAGUUCUGUGAAUGAAAUGCUUAGUAGUAGUGAUCUGUUUGUAUGAAGUGAUAAAGAAAUAUGUUGCAGUGUAGUUGCAUAUGUAAUUGUGUGUAUAUUUCAUCAUUGUUUUUGCCAGUUGCAAGAUCUGUUUUUGUGGAAAUCAAAUAACAUUGUACAAUAGGGGCUAACUGAUUGAGGCGGUGCAGCUGCUAAUGGCACUGACCUCAUGUGCAGGAGGAUGGGCUCCACACUGUCCGGCCAUCCUGAUUUGGGCUUUCCGUGGUUUUCCUGGACACUAAGGCAAAUGGCUGGGAUGGUUCCUUCAGCAUUCUUAUAGAGAUC